CCAACAUUUUAUUGUUUUAUAAUGAGAAAUUGUAUGAGCGUUCAACAUUUAUAUCUCACGAUACAACGACGAAAUGAAAUGUUUUCAAAUUUUCAACAAACAGAAUCAAUAAAACAUAGUUUCAUUUUCAAAUACUUCCAAAAUGUUGACUUGGAUAUUCAAUAUCAAUUUGUGAUUCACCCAUUGAUUACGAAACAUUUAUCUCGUCACUACUACCAAAAGCGGCCUUCACAAGGAGUAUUGACAAUACUAUUGAUCGUGUUUGCAUUGUCCUGUCUCUGGAUGUGAUAAACUUAUCAAUGGAUAUGUGAACGUGCUCAAGAGCCACGUAAAAUUAAAGAAGUUUCGGAUGAUUACAUAAGAGGAUGUCUUCGUAUAAUGAUUAAAUUAACUCGCAAGGGCAUAAAGCAUAAGGAAACAAUGGAGCCGAAUAUUGGUAUAGAUACUGAACUAGCAGCUCCAUUAAUUAGAUGGAUUUCUGACUUACGAAAAUUUUUUUGUAUAUCUAUCUCCUUGUGUCAUUAUUCCCUGUGGAAAGGAAUCAAUUAACGCUAUUGAUACAUUCUUUAGAUCGUUCGUAGUGUUUAAUUUGCGAAUUCCGGUAAAUUUAUUAAAAAUUGCAGAUUUCCUGGACGUGUUUGCCUACAAAAUUAAAUCAUACAGUAAUCGUUCGACCGUUCAGAAUUUGUGUUCUUUAUUCAUUGAAAGCGAAAAUGCAGAAAAAUUAUUGUAACGUGCAGGUUUCGUAAAUUUGACACUAAUAAAUGGUUUAAAAUUACCCACUGGUUGCAAA